UACCUUAGAGUAUCAAUGAACUUUUAAAAACCUAUAAAUCUUUCAAGGUAGAUUCGACCUAAGAGUUUUUUCGGAAACUCUAUAAAACCAAACUAGAGCUUUAUGGUUGAGCUCAAAAACCUUUUCUCACACUUUGGUACUAUUGAGACAACCCUCUCAACCAAAGUGGACACACACAAGAGGUGAUUAGAGGAGUGGAAUAUUAAAACAAACAACACUUCUUACUUGUAGAGAUGAACAAGAAGAUUAGAAGAAGAAGUUGAAGAGCUUUUGAAGCUUUGGAAAGCUAAGACACUUGAGUACUUGGAAGCUUGGAAGCUU
rnacentral:lncRNA from 1 species